AGGUAAGCUACUAAGAGCGAAUGGUGGAUGCCUUGACUGGUAAAGGCGAUGAAGGACGUACUAGACUGCGAUAAGCUACGGGGAGCUGUCAAGAAGCUUUGAUCCGUAGAUUUCCGAAUGGGGCAACCCAAUGUAUAGAGAUAUACAUUACCUAUAUAGGAGCGAACGAGGGGAAUUGAAACAUCUUAGUACCCUCAGGAAAAGAAAUCAAUAGAGAUUGCGUCAGUAGCGGCGAGCGAAAGCGCAAGAGGGCAAACCCAGUGCUUGCACUGGGGGUUGUAGGACUGCAAUGUGCAAGAGCUGAGUUUAGCAGAACAUUCUGGAAAGUAUAGCCAUAGAGGGUGAUAGUCCCGUAUGCGAAAAACAAAGCUUAGCUAGCAGUAUCCUGAGUAGGGCGGGACACGAGGAAUCCUGUCUGAAUCCGGGUCGACCACGAUCCAACCCUAAAUACUAAUACCAGAUCGAUAGUGCACAAGUACCGUGAGGGAAAGGUGAAAAGAACUGAGGUGAUCAGAGUGAAAUAGAACCUGAAACCAUUUGCUUACAAUCAUUCAGAGCACUAUGUAGCAAUACAGUGUGAUGGACUGCCUUUUGCAUAAUGAGCCUGCGAGUUGUGGUGUCUGGCAAGGUUAAGCAAACGCGAAGCCGUAGCGAAAGCGAGUCUGAAUAGGGCGCUUAGUCAGAUGCUGCAGACCCGAAACGAAGUGAUCUAUCCAUGAGCAAGUUGAAGCUAGUGUAAGAACUAGUGGAGGACUGAACCCAUAGGCGUUGAAAAGCCCCGGGAUGACUUGUGGAUAGGGGUGAAAGGCCAAUCAAACUUCGUGAUAGCUGGUUCUCUCCGAAAUAUAUUUAGGUAUAGCGUUGUGUCGUAAUAUAAGGGGGUAGAGCACUGAAUGGGCUAGGGCAUACACCAAUGUACCAAACCCUAUCAAACUCCGAAUACCUUAUAUGUAAUCACAGCAGUCAGGCGGCGAGUGAUAAAAUCCGUCGUCAAGAGGGAAACAACCCAGACUACCAGCUAAGGUCCCUAAAUCUUACUUAAGUGGAAAACGAUGUGAAGUUACUUAAACAACCAGGAGGUUGGCUUAGAAGCAGCCAUCCUUUAAAGAAAGCGUAAUAGCUCACUGGUCUAGUGAUUUUGCGCGGAAAAUAUAACGGGGCUAAAGUAAGUACCGAAGCUGUAGACUUGCACACAACUUAGAUUAUUUAAGUUUAGAAUAUGAGAAACUAAGUUAUAUGUUUAGUUAUAUUUUUACUGAUUUUUAUAGAGUAAAGAUAGAAAUAAAACUUAGUAAAAUCAGUAAAAAUAUUCUUAGGCUAAAGUUAAGUAGUUUAAGUUGUGUGCAAGUGGUAGGAGAGCGUUCUAUUUGCGUCGAAGGUAUACCGGUAAGGAGUGCUGGAGCGAAUAGAAGUGAGCAUGCAGGCAUGAGUAGCGAUAAUUAAUGUGAGAAUCAUUAACGCCGUAAACCCAAGGUUUCCUACGCGAUGCUCGUCAUCGUAGGGUUAGUCGGGUCCUAAGUCGAGUCCGAAAGGGGUAGACGAUGGCAAAUUGGUUAAUAUUCCAAUACCAACAUUAGUGUGCGAUGGAAGGACGCUUAGGGCUAAGGGGGCUAGCGGAUGGAAGUGCUAGUCUAAGGUUGUAGGAGGUUAUACAGGCAAAUCCGUAUAACAAUACUCCGAGAACUGAAAGGCUUUUUGAAGUCUUCGGAUGGAUAGAAGAACCCCUGAUGCCGUCGAGCCAAGAAAAGUUUCUAAGUUUAGCUAAUGUUGCCCGUACCGUAAACCGACACAGGUGGGUGGGAUGAGUAUUCUAAGGCGCGUGGAAGAACUCUCUUUAAGGAACUCUGCAAAAUAGCACCGUAUCUUCGGUAUAAGGUGUGGUUAGCUUCGUACUACGAUUUACUCCGAAAGCGAAGAAACUUACAACAAAGAGUCCCUCCCGACUGUUUACCAAAAACACAGCACUCUGCUAACUCGUAAGAGGAUGUAUAGGGUGUGACGCCUGCCCGGUGCUCGAAGGUUAAUUGAUGGGGUUAGCAUUAGCGAAGCUCUUGAUCGAAGCCCGAGUAAACGGCGGCCGUAACUAUAACGGUCCUAAGGUAGCGAAAUUCCUUGUCGGUUAAAUACCGACCUGCAUGAAUGGCGUAACGAGAUGGGAGCUGUCUCAAAGAGGGAUCCAGUGAAAUUGUAGUGGAGGUGAAAAUUCCUCCUACCCGCGGCAAGACGGAAAGACCCCGUGGACCUUUACUACAGCUUGACACUGCUACUUGGAUAAGAAUGUGCAGGAUAGGUGGGAGGCUUUGAGUAUAUGACGCCAGUUGUAUAUGAGCCAUUGUUGAGAUACCACUCUUUCUUAUUUGGGUAGCUAACCAGCUUGAGUUAUCCUCAAGUGGGACAAUGUCUGGUGGGUAGUUUGACUGGGGCGGUCGCCUCCCAAAUAAUAACGGAGGCUUACAAAGGUUGGCUCAGAACGGUUGGAAAUCGUUCGUAGAGUAUAAAGGUAUAAGCCAGCUUAACUGCAAGACAUACAAGUCAAGCAGAGACGAAAGUCGGUCUUAGUGAUCCGGUGGUUCUGUGUGGAAGGGCCAUCGCUCAAAGGAUAAAAGGUACCCCGGGGAUAACAGGCUGAUCUCCCCCAAGAGCUCACAUCGACGGGGAGGUUUGGCACCUCGAUGUCGGCUCAUCGCAUCCUGGGGCUGGAGCAGGUCCCAAGGGUAUGGCUGUUCGCCAUUUAAAGCGGUACGCGAGCUGGGUUCAGAACGUCGUGAGACAGUUCGGUCCCUAUCUGCCGUGGGCGUAAGAAGAUUGAAGAGAUUUGACCCUAGUACGAGAGGACCGGGUUGAACAAACCACUGGUGUAGCUGUUGUUCUGCCAAGAGCAUCGCAGCGUAGCUAAGUUUGGAAAGGAUAAACGCUGAAAGCAUCUAAGCGUGAAGCCAACUCUAAGAUGAAUCUUCUCUAAGCUCUCUAGAAGACUACUAGUUUGAUAGGCUGGGUGUGUAAUGGAUGAAAGUCCUUUAGCUGACCAGUACUAAUAGAGCGUUUGGCUUAUCUUU
rnacentral:rRNA from 1 species